rnacentral:lncRNA from 1 species
GCCGAGAUAGGACGGGACAGAACGGAGAUUCCGUGUUAUGUUUGGUACGCGCAGGACGGAACGGAACGGUUGUUCCAUUCUGCAUUUGGUACGCGCUGGACGAAAUGGAACCAAAAGAUUAAAUGACUAACUUACCCUUGUUCCGUCUGUUGUUUGGUACAAUGCUUAUGCGUGGAACAGGACGGGACAAAUUUUUAUUUUUAUUUUUUUGUGAACUUGUUCAUAUUUGAACACAUAUAUGUUUAUCUAUGAUAUAUUUUUUACAGUAGCACAUGGCUAAAGAUAUGUUACGCGAUAAUAUAUGUUAUGCCAUUUCUUGACUGAAGACAUGGCAGAAGAAGCAAAACGAAAAACAAUGGCAGAGAAUUUAGAGAGAAAAAGUGAAUGACUAAAGAUUGUAUUCCUUGAACAAUGAAGGAAUUCCAGAGAGAGGUGUUCGUUAUUUAUACAAGUAUUCUUUGCUUCACUCAUAAGCUACUAACCAACUUUCUUAUCCCUACAAAUCCCAACAGACUAACAACAUUCCUACAAUCUCAACAAACUAACUGCCUCGCUGAUGUGUGCCUUGCUGAUGUGUAACCUUCAUGCUGAUGUGUCUGUAGAGCCAUACUGAUGUGUACAUAUCAGUCAACAUACCCAUGGCCUGAAGCAAUAACUUUAUGUUUCUUGAGUAUUCAUCUAAUAAAAGGCUAUUUGGGACAAGACUGGAUCUUUAAGAUAAUCUAAUGUGCUACAACAACAUACAUGGGGACCUAGAAAACAAAAAGCAAAGAGCAUUGGUAAGUAAUAAUAAAACAGAAAAAGGACACAAAUUUAUCAGCAAGCCAUGAAUGACCAAUCUUGUGAUAAUUCCAAAUCAUGUUUUUUUUUUUUUUCAAAUGGUAAUUCAUUCAACACGAUAAAACUCCCGUAUACAAGGAGGAGAGAUAAGCAUAUGAGAACACCAAAUAAACUUCAACAGACCAUCUUUUACAAUCACGCACACUAGUAAAACUACUUGCAAGUCACAAUAUUUCACAUAAUUUUUCCUAAACCCCAUGCACGCUUCACUCCUAGCAAAGCAAUUACAAACUUACAUGAUGUCUGACAUGGUUAAAGACAAGGGCAACUUUUACAAAAGAAAAGCACCAAGUAAUCAACCACAGAGCAUUAUCGUGCCCAUCAUGUCUCACAUGUUUUGUACAUCCUAAAUAAGGGUAAAUUACACAGUAGCCCCUCAGGUUUUAAGGUUUAUUACAACCUCAUACAACAACUUUAAAACAUUUCACUUUCAUACCUCAAAUACUAUUUUAUUUCAAUAUAAUACAUCCGUUAGAUUUUCCAUCCAUUAAUCUGUUAAAUGCUGACGUGGCUGCCACAUUUGUGUCACAUGGCUGCCAAAUGUGUGCCACGUGGCACAAAAAAUAAUUUUUUAAUUUUUUUUAAAACCACCUUAAUCUUAAAAAAAAAAAAAAAACUAAACUAAACCGAAACCCACCUCCCGCAACUCCCCACCCCCGCAAACAAACCCAGAAACCUCACCCUUCCCCCCCCAACCCACCUCCUUCUCCUCCAUUCUCUUCACCUUUCAUCUCAUAAAAAAACCCAGCAAACCCCCACCCCACCACCACGUUCCCCGAUCCUUUUCUUCUAUUCACCCCACCCCAUUUCUCCCUUCUCUCAUCUGCAACCCCACCCACCCUUAGCAAACCUAAUUCCAUUUUCAGACCAGCACCAACCAAGCACAGAAAAAAUUCAAAAUUUGAAAGGACAAAAUUAAAUACAUACCUAAUUGUCAGAGUCAACCAAUAAGCAGGGUUCGAGUUGCAGAGAGGAGAAAAUAGUGGGUGAAGGGAUAAAGGGGGUAGGCAUCGGGUUCUGGGUGAGGAGGGUCGCGAGCGCGGGGGGGGGGGGGGAGAGGGGGGCGAGGGGAGGAUGAGGCGCGCGUCGAGCGUGAGCAGGAAGGGGGGCCGAAGGAGGGUGGCGGGUUCUGACUGAGGUGGGUCUGGAAGGCAGGCGUAAGGCCUCUGUGGGUUGGGUGGGUGGGUGGGUAGGGGUGGGGAAAACUGAACAGAUCUGGGUUGUAGGGUGGGGAAAAGAGAUCUGGGUUUUGGGGGGGGUUGCGGGGAGAUGGGAUAGGUUUAAGUUUUUUUUUUUUUUUUUUAAUAAAUGAGAAAAUUCAAGUUUUCUAAAAAAAAAAAUUAAUAUUUUGCCACGUGGCAUACAUUUGGCAGCCACGUGGGACAAAUGUGGCAGCCACGUCAGCACUUAACGGAUCAAUGGAUGGAAAAUGUAAUGGAUGUAUUAUAUUGAAAUAAAAUAGUACGUGAGGUAUGAAAGUGAAAUGUUUUAAAGUUGUUGUAUGGGGUUGCAAUAGACCUCAAACCUGAGGGGCUACUAUGUAAUUUACCCCCUAAAUAAUGAAAAAGCAUUAUCAUUCAAUUCCAUCUUUAGCAGCUUUGGCCUUAUGAAGAAUCGCAGCUGCUAAAGAUGCUAAACAUGGAAAAUCAAAAGCGUCCAACAAUGAAUAUAAAGUGGGAUAAAGUAUGCAACAAGAAAAUAAAUCACUAGGCUGGGGGAGGAAAAGAAGUUGGACAAAGGACAUGAUUUUACAACAAAAAAGAUAUCCGAUAAUUUGGCAACUGAUUGCCAACAAACAGGUUCUAACAACGAAAAAUAAUGACACCACUGAUGCACAAGGACAACUUGCUUCGCAUACUAUGACCAUACCUUCCAAUAUACAACAGCAACUAACAAGAAAAAGAAGCACAAUGCAAAACAAGAAUCGAAUAGAAAACUAAGAAAAAUGUUAGCCAAAACCUAUAUAUUUCAUCUCUCCCUUCCCCCUAAAAGAAAAUACUAAUAAGGAAUAAGAAGAUCCCUGGCAGGCAACGUUACAUUGUCCCUUCAACCCCUUUUCCUACCAAAAUAUUUCCACCCAUAGAGACACCUCUUUGACUAUCUAUGUUAAUUGUUACAGUCUCAGGGAAAUGCUCUAAAACCCACAGUGAUGCAGCUUUCCAAUAUGGAUGAGUGACCGAGGGACAUUUCAAACCCAUUUUCCAAUCUAGCCUACGUAUUUUCUUACGAUUUCACCACGCAAGAAAGGCUUCUCAGUGUGUGUUUAACUCCCAGUACAAAGGGUUAUUUAUGCCGAACCCAAUUUUUGUGAAAAAAAAUAUGGAAUUUGCCAAAACCCCUAAAAAGGCCAAAAGAAUUUAGCUCAAACACUUCACAAACGAUGAUUCUACACUAAUUUUACGACCCCAAAGCAUCUCUUCUUUCCUAAAACACAAUUUGGGUCAAAACCCAAAUGUAUCAAAACUCAAUUAUACACACUGACCAAUAAUCAGUAAAAUAACCAUUAAAAUGCAUCAAACUGAUUAACAUUUCAGCUGACCAAAUGCAGAAAGAACCAGCUUUUUCCAUCAUACAAAGCCAAGCUCACAACCGAACCCACUAAAUCGCACAGCUCAGAACCAGAUCCAAUUCUUUACAAACCAGAAUCGUAACAAACCUUAGAAAUCAGACUUUGUUCUUUUUCCCAAGCACAAGUUAAACCAGAGAAACCAAGAAAACUAACUUAUUUUCUCAUAAUCAUCAUAUUUUCCCAAAAAAUUGAAAUUUUCCAUGGAAAAAUCAAGAAAACGAACCUGAAGAUGCAGCGGCUACGAGAGAAGACCGAGAUUGAUGGGCCCUUACCAUUAUUCACUGUCUCCAAGUUGUUCCCUCUGAAUUGUAAUGGCAUUACUUCUUAUGGUGACUCAGCACCAAACCUUUUGUCUGUAGUGGAUAGUGGAUAUAUAUUUCCCUUUUGUAAUCCUUGAGGGGGAAGGAAAUGAAUUAACCUUUUAAACUUUUCCUGCAUUUCCCUUUAUUCUGAACCUUUUCUUCUCUGUGCGGCUGGAAACCUAACAAUUGGUAUCCAGAGCCUCGUUCACUUCUAUGGGCAAAAACAAAGCCUCGGUGACAGUGGCAGAUGUCACGGAGGCAGAAGAACUCCAGGAAAUUCAGCGACACAAAUAUUCAACCAGCUCCAUGAAUUUAGUGAAACAAUGACCAUGAUAAAUCUCCGCCAAGAUGAUCUACAACACCAUAUAUCUGAUCUGCAACAGGCUCUCGCAGAUUUGUCGGUGGGUCGAGCUCGGCAGGAACAAUUUCAACAGACAGUGAUCGAAGAGCUUCGUUCACUCAAAACCCAACCCACAAACCAUAACGUUUCUCAGAUCUCUAUCGGUUCCAUACCGGUUUCUCUUGGGUCUACCCCCCUUUCCACCGUUCAUACAACCCUUCCCCAAACCACAUGGGGAAAUUCCCCUUCCUACCCCAUUUCUACCACCCACCCAUCCACAUCCUAUGUUGAACCUGGACCCUCAUCUUUCUCCUACGCCACACCAAA